rnacentral:lncRNA from 1 species
GCCGCCCCACCCGGCCCGGGGACGCGCGGGCGCACCGAGACCUCUGCCUUACAAGGCCGACUCUGCUCAGGCCCCGCGGACCGCCGGGUCGCCCGUAUGCAGCGCCACCAUCCCGGCCGCUCUUCCAAUCUCGCCUUUCUCCGGGCACCUGCCGCCCCUCCCCCGCUCCCCAGACAGGCUUUGCGGAGGGGGCUCAUUCCGCCCGGGGCUGCCCGGCCCUCCGCAGGAGUUGGCUCCCCACAAGGUUCCGGGGCCGAGAUGACAGGGCGGUUCUGUGGUGCUGGGUGCUGGGACUUGAGGGGCAUAGGGGCACCUGCCCUGGAGGAGGCCGAGGCGCAGCCCCCCAGGAGGAAGGGGUGCCUCUGGUGACUUUCAGCUGGACUCUUCCAGCUGGACUCUAGUGCAGCUGAGCUCCUCCCCCAGCCCCGGCUCUGUCCCUGCACCAGGUGUCCAGCAGGCCCUGGAAUCCGCAAAGGCAGAAGGGGAAGUUGGGGUGCUGGGUGCUGGGCAGGGGGUGCUGAGGCCUCACAGCCCGGCGGCUUGGCCCCCACCCACCCCACGGUGGUCCCGCGCCCCACACUUCCUCUCCUCUCCUGUGGUUUCUCCUUCCACUCAGUGCUGCCCAGAGAUGGGCUUCUGUCUAGUUCUCCUGAGAAAUUCCACACUCGCAGCUGGGAAGUCGGGGGACCCCCGAAGCUGUGCGGCGGCCACGCUGCGGCUCCUGCUUCCCUCCUGCUCGGGUGCGGGCUCGGCUGCCUUCUCGUCCCGCGGAGCCCGGAGUGCCUCCCCCUCGGGUAGAUCCUACUAACAGCAUCAAAGAAAUAAUGAAAUAAUCUC